CCAUGAUUUCCUCGCCUCCCUCCCGUGCCUCCUUGGUGGGAGGGACAUUAGCUGUCAUGUCGCUUAUUUGAUAGCUCCUUGACUCCUCGGGCCUUGGCUGAACCGGAAGUAGUUCAGUGCAGGAAUCGAGGAGGGAUCAUUGAGGAGCUAUAGGCAAGGAUACACAAGAGCAGCUUUCCCGGAAGCCGUGCAGAUGAAGGAGUUGCUAACUCUAAAAACGCAUUUGCACGUUUCCUCUCUCCUCCCAUGAUUUUCUCGCAUCUCUCCCGUGCGUCCUUUGUGGGAGGGAAUAAGACGCGAGGAAGGGAGGCAAGUGGAGGAGUCGGUGAUGCGAUUUAAGGGCUAUGGGAUGCACCUUAAGACGCAAGGAAGGGAUUCAAGUGGAGGCCUUGAGGAGGCAAUUUAAGCGACAUGAAAUGCAGCGAGGGAAAAACAUAGAGAAGGAAAACCUGUGAUACCAACAUGUGUUUGUUCAUUUGCACAUUAUAAAGCCUUCUUAAUAGCCUUACUGCAAAAAAUUACAGACCCUUAGGUGCUGAGGGUGUCCACACAACUCUUCCACCCUCUUUUGCCACUUUUGACUCCAACACCAUCAUCAAGUUUGCUGACGACACAGCUGUGGUGGUCCGGAUCACAGACAACAAUGAACAGCCCUACCUGAAAGAAGUAGAGGGCCUGACCCGCUGGUGUCGGGACAACAACAUAGUACUCAUGAAUGUCAGCAAGACCAAAGAGGUGAUAGUGGACGUUGGUAAGAAGCAGGAAAGGAACUACACCUCCCUUAUUAAUAUGAACAGGUCCUCUGUGGAGAUGGUGGACAGUUUCAAGUACCUUGGUGUCCACAUCACCGAGGGAGGGUCUGACCUGGGCGCUGCAUACUAUCUCAGUGGUGAGAAAGGCAAGGCACAGACUGUUUCACCUCAGAUGGCUGAGGUGUAGCCCCCCUGUAUCCCUUUAAAUACUGAGCAAGUUCUACUCCUGUAUCAUUGAAAAUGUCCUGACAGGAAACAUAACUGCCUGGUACGGAAAUAGCAUAGAACAGGACCGCAAGUCCCUGUAAAAAGAGGUCUGUUUUGCUGAACACACAAUGGGAGGUGCCCCACGCUGCUUCAAUGAUAUUUAACACCAGGUGUUGCAAGAAAAAGGCCAGGAGAAUCAUUAAAGAUCCAAAGCAUCCAUGUAACAGCCUUUACUCCCUGUUGAGGUCGGGUAGAAGGUAUCGGAUACACCAGGCCAGCACUGAGAGGCUCAGGAGGAGCUUUUACCCUGAGGCCACUAGGAUCCUAAAUGCCUAAGGCUGAAAUAAUUUAAAGGCAAAAAGUGCUGGCAUCAAACUCUGAGUCAAACUGUUGUUCUUUCUUCUCUUUGACAAUAAAAAAUGUAAAAGUCA